rnacentral:tRNA from 1 species
GCACAUGUAGUUUAUAAAAACAUUGUAUUUUCAUUGCAAAGAUGGGCUAUUCCCUUGUGUU